UGGACUCAAAGAUUAUAGAAGAAUGAUUUGGGAAGAUCAGCCAAAGAGAGUAAUAGCCUCGUAUUUAAAAUAGUCUUUGUACCUAGCAGUAUCCUGAGUACGGCGGGACACGUGAAAUCCCGUCGGAAUCUGGGAGGACCAUCUCCCAACCCUAAAUACUCCCUAGUGACCGAUAGUGAACCAGUACCGUGAGGGAAAGGUGAAAAGCACCCCGGGAGGGGAGUGAAAUAGAACCUGAAACCGUGUGCCUACAACAAGUUCGAGCCCGUUAAUGGGUGAGAGCGUGCCUUUUGUAGAAUGAACCGGCGAGUUACGUUAUGAUGCGAGGUUAAGUUGAAGAGACGGAGCCGUAGGGAAACCGAGUCUGAAUAGGGCGCCUUAGUAUCAUGACGUAGACCCGAAACCAUGUGACCUACCCAUGAGCAGGUUGAAGGUGCGGUAAGACGCACUGGAGGACCGAACCAGGGCACGUUGAAAAGUGCUUGGAUGACUUGUGGGUAGCGGAGAAAUUCCAAACGAACUUGGAGAUAGCUGGUUCUCUCCGAAAUAGCUUUAGGGCUAGCGUCGACAUUAGAGAUUCUUGGAGGUAGAGCACUGUUUGGGUGAGGGGUCCAUCCCGGAUUACCAAUCUCAGAUAAACUCCGAAUGCCAAUGAAUUAUGGUCGGCAGUCAGACUGCGAGUGCUAAGAUCCGUAGUCGAAAGGGAAACAGCCCAGACCACCAGCUAAGGUCCCAAAAUAAUUGUUAAGUGGAAAAGGAUGUGGGGUUGCACAGACAACUAGGAUGUUAGCUUAGAAGCAGCUAUUCAUUCAAAGAGUGCGUAAUAGCUCACUAGUCGAGUGACCCUGCGCCGAAAAUGUACCGGGGCUAAAACAAUUUACCGAAGCUGUGGAUACCUUUAUAGGUAUGGUAGGAGAGCGUUCUAUGUGUGAUGAAGGUAUACCGUGAGGAGUGCUGGAACGCAUAGAAGUGAGAAUGCCGGUAUGAGUAGCGAAAGACAGGUGAGAAUCCUGUCCACCGUAAGACUAAGGUUUCCAGGGGAAGGCUCGUCCGCCCUGGGUUAGUCGGGACCUAAGGAGAGACCGAAAGGUGUAUCCGAUGGACAACAGGUUGAUAUUCCUGUACUAGAGUAUGUAGUGAUGGAGGGACGCAGUAGGCUAACUAAAGCAGACGAUUGGAAGAGUCUGUCUAAGCAGUGAGGUGUGAAUUGAGUCAAAUGCUUAAUUCUAUAACAUUGAGCUGUGAUGGGGAGCGAAGUUUAGUAGCGAAGUUAGUGACGUCACACUGCCAAGAAAAGCUUCUAGCGUUUAACCAUACUCUACCCGUACCGCAAACCGACACAGGUAGUCGAGGCGAGUAGCCUCAGGUGAGCGAGAGAACUCUCGUUAAGGAACUCGGCAAAAUGACCCCGUAACUUCGGGAGAAGGGGUGCUGACUUAAAGUCAGCCGCAGUGAAUAGGCCCAAGCAACUGUUUAUCAAAAACACAGCUCUCUGCUAAAUCGUAAGAUGAUGUAUAGGGGGUGACGCCUGCCCGGUGCUGGAAGGUUAAGAGGAGUGCUUAGCGUAAGCGAAGGUAUGAAUUGAAGCCCCAGUAAACGGCGGCCGUAACUAUAACGGUCCUAAGGUAGCGAAAUUCCUUGUCGGGUAAGUUCCGACCCGCACGAAAGGCGUAAUGAUUUGGGCACUGUCUCAACGAGAGACUCGGUGAAAUUUUAGUACCUGUGAAGAUGCAGGUUACCCGCGACAGGACGGAAAGACCCCAUGGAGCUUUACUGCAGUUUGAUAUUGAGUGUCUGUACCACAUGUACAGGAUAGGUAGGAGUCUAAGAGAUCGGGACGCCAGUUUCGAAGGAGACGCUGUUGGGAUACUACCCUUGUGUUAUGGCCACUCUAACCCAGAUAGGUGAUCCCUAUCGGAGACAGUGUCUGACGGGCAGUUUGACUGGGGCGGUCGCCUCCUAAAAGGUAACGGAGGCGCCCAAAGGUUCCCUCAGAAUGGUUGGAAAUCAUUCGCAGAGUGUAAAGGUAUAAGGGAGCUUGACUGCGAGAGCUACAACUCGAGCAGGGACGAAAGUCGGGCUUAGUGAUCCGGUGGUUCCGUAUGGAAGGGCCAUCGCUCAACGGAUAAAAGCUACCCUGGGGAUAACAGGCUUAUCUCCCCCAAGAGUUCACAUCGACGGGGAGGUUUGGCACCUCGAUGUCGGCUCGUCGCAUCCUGGGGCUGUAGUCGGUCCCAAGGGUUGGGCUGUUCGCCCAUUAAAGCGGCACGCGAGCUGGGUUCAGAACGUCGUGAGACAGUUCGGUCCCUAUCCGUCGCGGGCGUAGGAAAUUUGAGAGGAUCUGCUCCUAGUACGAGAGGACCAGAGUGGACUUACCGCUGGUGUACCAGUUGUCUUGCCAAAGGCAUCGCUGGGUAGCUAUGUAGGGAAGGGAUAAACGCUGAAAGCAUCUAAGUGUGAAACCCACCUCAAGAUGAGAUUUCCCAUGAUUAUAUAUCAGUAAGAGCCCUGAGAGAUGAUCAGGUAGAUAGGUUAGAAGUGGAAGUGUGGCGACACAUGUAGCGGACUAAUACUAAUAGCUCGAGGACUUAUCCAA
rnacentral:rRNA from 1 species